GCGCGCCUCUCUAGCCGACAAGUCUUCAAGGUGCACAGUGGCAAGGCGCGUUGCUGGACGUGCGCACACCUUUGCAGUCACUAGUGUAGGUAUGCGAUCUUCACGUUAGCAUCACUCCCUACCGACAAACACAAUACAGGCGAGGCGCCAGGCUGGACAGCUGAUCUUGAGCUUCGCUCGCGCAAAGAGAGGUGCCGAGUGCAGGGGAGGUGCGAGUCGCCUCCCAUCCGUAGGAUAGGCAAACAGUCAUCACCUACUGAAGGCGAAUGAUCGAUGUGCAGUGUGGGUGCGAGUAAAGGCGGACGGCGUUGAUAGGGGGAGGGGAAGGGCAGGGUAGCGGAUCGGUGCUGAAGUGCCGGUGCUACUGUGUGUCUCUGAGUCCAAGCAAUGGCGCAAUGAACUCGAGAUAUAGGACACUAUCACAACAUGGAGCUUUUUCUCCCCCAGUCUCUCCAAUUUCGUGCUUCGGCUCGUUCGAGUGUCUAGGAUACCCACCAUGUG
rnacentral:misc_RNA from 1 species